rnacentral:lncRNA from 1 species
GACAAGAGAAAUAAACACGAGUGAUUGUGAGGGAGUGAUUUCUUUUUCCAUUAACAUCUUUUUGCAGAUAUUCACAACCUAGUGAAACCAAUCGACCUAUGACAUUGGAAGAACGCAUAGAGGUUAUGAUGGAUGACAUGUACAAUAGAUUUAGCUUAGCCAUUGAAUAUAUAGCAACAGAGAUGGAUGAGAGAGACGGAGGAAGGAACCGUAGCCAUCCUAAACGCUGACACUGCCAGGAUGAUG